GCCUGAUCCUUCCUCUGCAGUGACCAAUAAUAUUUUUCCUUCAGUGGACAGGGGCUGGGUAGAAGUUCUGAGAAAGAGAUGCAGAGGCCCCUGAGUAGCUGCCAAGACAGAGUGUCACACGAUGAGCCAGGGAGUUUGAAUAUGAGAAGCUGCUGUGUCCUACCAAUCCAAUCCAAGUACAAGGAACAAAGAGUUCCUUGCCCUGCUCCCAGAUCAUCUCGGAGCCAAGGGGAAAUCCAUGUCCAGAACCCAAGUCCUCGUCAUCUGCACCACACUCUGGAAAUCUUGGUCUGUGAGGACUGUGAACCCGUUCCCAGUCCAUCGUCCUGAGAAGGACCAUGCAGCAGGGGUGUCUCCCCUGGAGCAGCUGUUGGCAGAAUGGGAGCACUGAUUGUGAAUAUAGGACUGGAGCACAAACUCAAAAGUAUCAGAGGCCACCAUGAUGAAGGGUGGAUGGGGUUUGGGAUAAGAAAGGCAUUGGCCUGUGGGGUUGGACAGUAGACAAAGGCACACUCCAGCCUGGGAUUCAGGGAACUCUGAAUGAG
rnacentral:lncRNA from 1 species